AUGCUAGGAAGUUUCUCAUAUGAUGAUAAACUUCAAUUAGAAGGACGACUCUAGUGAGACUAGCAAGUUGCCAUUCUCAAAGGGAACGUACCCUUUGACUCCCAAAGAAAUAAUGCGUAAAUAGAAUCCUUUAUGCAUACACAGAGAGGUGAUUUAUAUAUUUCGUAUUGUAUGAAAAAUAUUGAUAUGAGUUGUACCUAGAAAGGUACAAGACGAUAUCAGUGCAAGCGCAGGAUCAGAACCACGACAACUGUCAAGUGAGUCCUUAAGUAUUUAAGAAAUACUAAAGGAUAGAUUCCUCAAAGAAUGAGGAAGAAUUAGAGUAACGUAAUGGAAGCGUAAAUGUAUUAGAUUAUGAAUCUAAUCCAUCAUAUUUCUUCAUUAUGAAUGAAGAGAUAAUCAGAUAUCUCUUUAUUAUGACUAAAGAGAUAUUUGGAUGGAAACAUUAAAAGUAAUGACUUUAGUGUGUUCCAUUAUGAAUGCAAAAUAUAUUGCCAUAUAGAAGCUUACAACAAUGUUGUUUGGAUGGGAAAGUUCAUUUAUGAACUCUCUAUUCGGUUCCAACCAGAAAGUGUCUCUAGUGUACCAACACUACGACACUAAUGGGGCGAUAGCUCAAGCCAGGGAAUCAAGGUCUCAUCAAGAUCCAAACUCAAAUGAGAGACUGAACCACAUGAUUAAGAAUCAUGUAUAAUGGUGACGUCGUUAUUCUCAAGGUUGCUUCUAUGGAUAACAUAUAGAUAUCCAUUGUCUAGGCCUACUACUCAGCCAUUUAUGAAAUGACUACAGAAGAGGUAUCAUCACUGAUGACCAAGCUGAUUGGCUCUAGUGCAAGUGGGAGAUUGUUGGAAAUGUGCCCUAAAACCAAUCAUAUGAUGAUACUUUACGGACAUUUCACAUGUUAAACUAAUCUAGUUUAAUAUUAAGGGCAAAGAUUAUUGUUUGAGCCGUCUCAUAUAAAUAUUAUACGCUUAAACGAUAAGUCCAAGGAAUAUGUGAUUGGGAGAAUGAUGCGUAAAAUAACUAAACACACAAAUUAAACCCUCUUGUUGACAAUUGUAGUAUAUGUAUAAGUAGGGAUCGUUCUUAAACCGGGGAUUAUGAGGGAUUGCUAAACAUUCUAAACUGACUCAAAUAGAUAAAACUAAGCUUUAAAACACUAAACUAGACUCAAAAGACUCAAAACAAACUCAAAAGACUCAAAACAAGCUAAAAACACUCAAAAUUGCCUAAAAACACAAACUGGGCAGUUUUGAGCUCUAAACAUAAUUUGGACGAAAUUUGGGUUUCUAAAGGCUCAAAACACUUAAAAACACAAUCUAAGACAAGUUCUAACUAAUAUGACUUAACAAAGUAAAGGGUGUUUGGUUUUGGACGAAAAUAAGUAAAUUAAAACAAGAACAAUUUAAACAGAUUCUUAAGCA
rnacentral:lncRNA from 1 species